AGUGAACGCUGGCGGUAGGCCUAACACAUGCAAGUCGAACGGCAGCACAGUAAGAGCUUGCUCUUACGGGUGGCGAGUGGCGGACGGGUGAGGAAUACAUCGGAAUCUACUUUUUCGUGGGGGAUAACGUAGGGAAACUUACGCUAAUACCGCAUACUACCUACGGGUGAAAGCAGGGGAUCUUCGGACCUUGCGCGAUUGAAUGAGCCGAUGUCGGAUUAGCUAGUUGGCGGGGUAAAGGCACACCAAGGCGACGAUCCGUAGCUGGUCUGAGAGGAUGAUCAGCCACACUAGAACUGAGACACGGUCCAGACUCCUACGGGAGGAAGCAGUGGGGAAUAUUGGACAAUGGGCGCAAGCCUGAUCCAGCCAUACCGCGUGGGUGAAGAAGGCCCUCGGGUUGUAAAGCCCUUUUGUUGGGAAAGAAAAGCAGCAGGUUAAUACCCCGCUGUUCUGACGGUACCCAAAGAAUAAGCACCGGCUAACUUCGUG
rnacentral:rRNA from 1 species